AUGAACAUUGCCCUCCUGACUCGCUGGUUGUGGCGCAUUGCCAACGGAGAGGGGGGCCUCUGGCUCACCAUCAUCCAUAAUAAAUACCUUCGUGGACAACCUCUUGCCUUUCGCCAACGUACGGGUGGUUCUCAGUUCUGGCAGUCUGUGAUCCAUCUCCUGCCCGUACUACGCAUUGGCACCUCUGUAUCUGUUGGCUCCGGAGCCUCGGCCCUGUUUUGGUUCGACCGUUGGCUAGGGGACGCCCUCCUGGCGGUGCGUUUCCCUGAGCUAUUUGCCAUUGCAGUUGACCCUCGGGUCUCGGUCGAGACGACCCUUAUUGACUUAGGGCAUCUUGCCUUCCGGCGCCAGUUUGGUCCCCUUGAGGUGGCCGCCUGGGACUCCCUCCUCCAGGACAUUGCUCUUCUGCCGAUGGAGGUGGCGGAGGACCGGGAUGUUCUGUCCUGGCACGUCGAGCCCUCCGGACGUUUCUCCACGAAGUCCUUAUACGAUGCCAUUGCUCCCUCGUCGGCCCCGGAACCAUUUAGCCUGAUCUGGGAUAUCCGUCUCCCGCUGAAGAUCCGGAUCUUCCUAUGGCAAUGGAUCCGUGGCCGGCUCCCCUCUGGGGUUGAGGUCCUCAAGCGGAAUGGCCCGGGUGAUGGGAGGUGCCCCAUCUGUGGCACCGUUGAGGAUGCUAACCACAUCUUUUUCUCGUGCCACUCUGCCCAGUUCCUUUGGGCCUGCUUCCGCGAAACGGUUGGUGGACAGUGGUGUAAUACCAACUCCCCGACCUGCUUGCCGAGCUUAACGCCUGCCCUGCCCGCUACCGCCAUAUUAGAUGGCUGUGCGUGGGGGUUCUUGCCUGGACGCUUUGGAACAUCCGUAAUAAGCUUGUUAUUCAAAAGGUGCCCCUUCGUCGUGCGACUGACGCAAUCUUCAAACUGUGUGGCUACCUGCAGCUUUGGCGGCCGCUUAGCCGCCCCCAGGACCGGGACGUCAUCACCGCCCUCCUCUCCGAUCUCCGCUCGAUGA
rnacentral:rRNA from 1 species